rnacentral:rRNA from 1 species
CCUACGGGAGGCAGCAGUGGGGAAUAUUGGACAAUGGGGGGAACCCUGAUCCAGCGACGCCGCGUGAGUGAAGAAGUAUUUCGUUACGUAAAGCUCUAUCAGCAGGGAAGAAAAUGACGGUACCUGAGUAAGAAGCCCCGGCUAACUACGUGCCAGCAGCCGCGGUAACACGUAGGGAGCAAGCGUUAUCCGGAUUUACUGGGUGUAAAGGGGGCGUAGACGGUGCGACAAGUCUGGAGUGAAAUGCCGGAGCUUAACUGCGGAACUGCUUUGGAAACUGGCGAACUCGAGUGCGGGAGGGGUAAGCGGAAUGCGUGGUGUAGCGGUGAAAUGCAUAGAUAUUAGGAGGAACGCCGGUGGCGAAGGCGGCUUACCGGACCGUAACUGACGUUGAGGCUCGAAAGCGUGGGGAGCGAACAGGAUUAGAUACCCCUGUAGUC